GACUAGUGUGGUGUAGUGGUUUGAACGUUGGACUAUGACUCCGGAGACCAGGGUUCAAAUUCUAGCUUGGCCA